CCUACGGGAGGCUGCAGUGGGGAAUAUUGGACAAUGGGGGCAACCCUGAUCCAGCCAUGCCGCGUGUGUGAAGAAGGCCCUCGGGUUGUAAAGCACUUUCAGUGAGGAAGAACGCCUGGUGGUUAAUACCCAUCAGGAAAGACAUCACUCACAGAAGAAGCACCGGCUAACUCCGUGCCAGCAGCCGCGGUAAUACGGAGGGUGCGAGCGUUAAUCGGAAUUACUGGGCGUAAAGCGCGCGUAGGUGGCUUGAUAAGCCGGUUGAGAAAGCCCCGGGCUCAACCUGGGAACGGCAUCCGGAACUGUCAAGCUAGAGUGCAGGAGAGGAAGGUAGAAUUCCCGGUGUAGCGGUGAAAUGCGUAGAGAUCGGGAGGAAUACCAGUGGCGAAGGCGGCCUUCUGGACUGACACUGACACUGAGGUGCGAAAGCGUGGGUAGCAAACAGGAUUAGAUACCCCUGUAGUC
rnacentral:rRNA from 1 species